rnacentral:rRNA from 1 species
AUUGAACGCUGGCGGCAGGCCUAACACAUGCAAGUCGAGCGGAUGAAGGGAGCUUGCUCCUGGAUUCAGCGGCGGACGGGUGAGUAAUGCCUAGGAAUCUGCCUGGUAGUGGGGGAUAACGUCCGGAAACGGGCGCUAAUACCGCAUACGUCCUGAGGGAGAAAGUGGGGGAUCUUCGUACCUCACGCUAUCAGAUGAGCCUAGGUCGGAUUAGCUAGUUGGUGGGGUAAAGGUCUACCAAGGCGACGAUCCGUAACUGGUCUGAGAGGAUGAUCAGUCACACUGGAACUGAGACACGGUCCAGACUCCUACGGGAGGCAGCAGUGGGGAAUAUUGGACAAUGGGCGAAAGCCUGAUCCAGCCAUGCCGCGUGUGUGAAGAAGGUCUUCGGAUUGUAAAGCACUUUAAGUUGGGAGGAAGGGCAGUAAGUUAAUACCUUGCUGUUUUGACGUUACCAACAGAAUAAGCACCGGCUAACUUCGUG